GACGAACGCUGGCGGCGUGCUUAACACAUGCAAGUCGAACGGAAAGGCCCUGCUUUUGUGGGGUGCUCGAGUGGCGAACGGGUGAGUAACACGUGAGUAACCUGCCCUUGACUUUGGGAUAACUUCAGGAAACUGGGGCUAAUACCGGAUAGGAGCUCCUGCUGCAUGGUGGGGGUUGGAAAGUUUCGGCGGUUGGGGAUGGACUCGCGGCUUAUCAGCUUGUUGGUGGGGUAGUGGCUUACCAAGGCUUUGACGGGUAGCCGGCCUGAGAGGGUGACCGGCCACAUUGGGACUGAGAUACGGCCCAGACUCCUACGGGAGGCAGCAGUGGGGAAUAUUGCACAAUGGGCGGAAGCCUGAUGCAGCAACGCCGCGUGCGGGAUGACGGCCUUCGGGUGGUAAGCCGCUUUCGCCUGUGACGAAGCGUGAGUGACGGUAAUGGGUGAAGAAGCACCGGCUAACUACGUG
rnacentral:rRNA from 1 species